CGUGGGAACCUAGGUGUUAAUCCAACAAAUCGAAGAAGAGACAAAGAAGCAUGGUUGCUGAAAAAUCUACGGACGUGCAGAUUUCUGAGCGAUAGCCUCUCCGAAACACCUCUUUCCCCUAUAGGCAUGAUCAACCUGGAAACUUACUAUUUUAAUACCUAAAAUUUUCGGAGCUUAGGCAUGAGGAACCAGCUCCAAGAAUAUGAGGCAUUUAGGAUCCUUAUGCAGCAGAUUUCUGAGACAGCAG
rnacentral:lncRNA from 1 species